GCAUCGGUGAUUCAGAGGUAGAAUGUUCGCCCGCCACGCGGGUGAUCCGGGCUCGAUUAUCGGCCGAUGCA